AAGAGGAGCCCGGCGGCGGUCUUCCACUGGGAGCCACAACCACCCUCCAUCCUUCUUUAGGACUGGAAAGUGGGGCUGGGGGCCGCGCAGGUUGGUGGAGCAGGGAACUAGGAGGGAAGGUGCAAAUUAAAAAACUGGAUCAAAAGAUUGGAAUCCACUACCUGGCCAGGCCUGCCCAAGGUGCCUUUUCCUGCAGUAGACAGAUGGUUUCAGUCUACACUAAACUGUGUGAAAUGAGAAUGGAAAUGAUUUUAUUAUAUAAAGCCAAACAAGGAGCUAUUCUCUAGAGAAGGAGGAGACAUGCACAAGGAGGAGCUGGCAACCUUCCUCAGCAGAACAGAUGAAUAAAUAAGUACCAUGAGCUUGUGUCUUUUAGUUGGGGUGAUUUGUCAAACACCACACCUCUGUGGCUGCUUGCAGAUUUUAAGGGUUGUGCUCAGUCUUAAC